AAUACCUUAUGAUUUCAAAAAAGAACAAAGGAAAGAAAUUUCCGCUUUAAGAGGACAAUAAACGUUUCGGAUAGGUAGUAGUUAAAGUAAUGGUUUAACUAGCCUAAUAUUCCGUAGUCGAGGCUGAGAGGUCGAUCGAUCACAUUGGGUCUGAAAAAACCCCAAUACGUAUAGUACAGCAGUGGGGAAUAUUGGUCAAUAGCCUAACGGCUGAACCAGCAACUUGGGGGAAUGUAUAGCUUCGGCUAAUUAUACUUGGCUGUUUAAUCCAUUAUAAGUAAUUAAAGUUAUUUAUAAUAGAUUAUUCAAUUUAUCCGUAAUAGGUUUAUGCUACUAAACAUAGCGUAGUAAAAUUAAUUUGCUACUUUUUUAUUAAGAGAAAUUUUUCUCGUAGACAGGUAUAAGAUCGAUUUUAUCGAGUAAAGUUCUAGAGGGGAAUAAAAAAUUGAUUAUGACAAAUUUCGUUUCUAUAUGUCUUGACCAAAUUACGUGCCAGCAGUCGCGGUAAUACGUAAAAGACUAGUGUUAUUCAUCUUUAGUAGGUUUAAAGGGUACCUAGACGGUAUAAUUAGUCUUAAACAAGAAACGGUUAUGCUAGAGUUAUAUAUGAGAAGGGGAGUAUUUAUGGAGUAGAGUUGAAAUUCUUUGAUCCCAUAACGACUGGUAACGGCGAAAGCAACCUUUUAUCUAAUAACUGACGUUGAGGGACGAAGGCUCGGGUCACGAACAGGAUUAGAUACCCUAGUAGUCCAAGCAGAGAAUGAUGAAUGCCAUAGAUUAGAUGUUAAUUUAGUCUAUAAAUGAAAGUGUAAGCAUUUCACCUCAAGAGUAAUGUGGCAACGCAGGAACUGAAAUCAUUAGACCGUUUCUGAAACCAGUAGUGAAGUAUGUUAUUUAAUUCGUAGUUACGCGAAAAACCUUACCACAACUUGAAUAUUAUCUUUAUGAUAUUACAAGCGUUGCACGGCUGUCUUCAGUUAAUGUCGUGAGAUAUUGGUUAAUUCCAUUAAAUUAACGGAAACCCUUGCUUUAUUUGAGAUAAAGCAGUUCACCUUUACAAGGGAUAUGAUA
rnacentral:rRNA from 1 species